AAGUACAUGCCGUAUUAAGGCGAAACCGCGAAUGGCUCAUUAAAUCAGUUAUAGUUCCUUGGAUCGUACCUUACUACUUGGAUAACUGUGGCAAUUCUAGAGCUAAUACAUGCAGCAGAGCUCCGACCUUCGGGAACGAGCGCUUUUAUUAGACCAAAACCAAUCGGGCCUCGUGUCCGUACCUUGUGGUGACUCUGUAUAACUUUGGGCUGAUCGCACGGGCUCGUCCCGGCGACGUAUCUUUCAAGUGUCUGCCUUAUCAACUGUCGAUGGUAGGUUACGCGCCUACCAUGGUCGUAACGGGUGACGGGGAAUCAGGGUUCGAUUCCGGAGAGGGAGCCUGAGAAACGGCUACCACAUCCAAGGAAGGCAGCAGGCGCGCAAAUUACCCACUCCCGGCACGGGGAGGUAGUGACGAAAAAUAACAAUACGGGACUCUUUUGAGACCCCGUAAUUGGAAUGAGUACACUCUAAAUCCUUUAACGAGGAUCCAUUGGAGAGCAAGUCUGGUGCCAGCCGUCGCGGUAAUUCCAGCUCCAAUAGCGUAUAUUAAAGUUGUUGCGGUUAAAAAGCUCGUAGUUGGAUCUCAGCUCGAGACGGACGGUCCGCCUACCGGUGGUUACUGUCCGUUCUCAGCAUUUCGUUAGCCAUUCCAGAUGAUCUUCAUCGGUUGUCUAGAGUGACUGACAAGUUUACUUUGAAAAAAUUAGAGUGCUCAAAGCAGACGUGACGUCUGAAUAAUUGUGCAUGGAAUAAUGGAAUAGGACCUCGGUUCUAUUUUGUUGGUUUUCGGAACACGAGGUAAUGAUUAAGAGGGACAGACGGGGGCAUUCGUACUGCGACGCUAGAGGUGAAAUUCUUGGACCGUCGCAUGACGAACUACUGCGAAAGCAUUUGCCAAGAAUGUUUCCAUUAAUCAAGAACGAAAGUUAGAGGUCCGAAGGCGAUCAGAUACCGCCCUAGUUCUAACCAUAAACGAUGCCAGCCAGCGAUCCGGCUGUGUUCCUCAAAUGACACGCCGGGCAGCUUCCGGGAAACCAAAGCUUUUGGGUUCCGGGGGAAGUAUGGUUGCAAAGCUGAAACUUGAAGGAAUUGACGGAAGGGCACCACCAGCAAUGGAGCCUGCGGCUCAAUUUGACUCAACACGGGAAAACUUACCCGGCCCGGACACAGGAAGGAUUGACAGAUUAAGAGCUCUUUCUUGAUUCUGUGGGUAGUGGUGCA
rnacentral:rRNA from 1 species